CCUACGGGAGGCAGCAGUGAGGAAUAUUGGUCAAUGGGCGCGAGCCUGAACCAGCCAAGUCGCGUGAGGGAAGACGGUCCUCUGGAUUGUAAACCUCUUUUGUCGGGGAGCAAAAGACGCCACGUGUGGCGAUCCGAGAGCACCCGAAGAAAGAGCAUCGGCUAACUCCGUGCAAGCAGCCGCGGUAAUACCAGGGAUGCGUGCGGUAUCCGGAUUUGUUGGGUUUAAGGGGUGAGCAGGAGGAAGAUCAAGUCAGCGGUAAAAUUGCGUGGUUCAACCUCUUCGAGCCGUUGAAACUGGUUUUCUUGAGUGAGCGAGAGGUAUGCGGAAUGCGUGGUGUAGCGGUGAAAUGCAUAGAUAUCACGCAGAACUCCGAUUGCGAAGGCAGCAUACCGGCGCUCAACUGACGCUCAUGCACGAAAGUGUGGGUAUCGAACAGGAUUAGAUACCCUUGUAGUC
rnacentral:rRNA from 1 species